rnacentral:misc_RNA from 1 species
GAAAUGCGAUACUUGGUGUGAAUUGCAGAAUCCCGUGAACCAUCGAGUCUUUGAACGCAAGUUGCGCCCGAGGCCUUCUGGUCGAGGGCACGUCUGCCUGGGCGUCACGCACAGCGUCGCCCCCAACCACACAUGCUGUGGAAGGGGAGCGGAGAUUGGCCAUCUCGAUCCCACCUGGUGGCACCUGUUCGGCGACGAUACGCUGAGCUUGCUCGAGGGCCGUGCGCUGGCUGGGAAUCC